CCUACGGGAGCGCAGCAGUGGGGAAUAUUGGACAAUGGGCGAAAGCCUGAUCCAGCCAUGCCGCGUGUGUGAAGAAGGCCUUCGGGUUGUAAAGCACUUUCAGUGGGGAAGAAAGCCUUGGGGCUAAUACCCUCGAGGAAGGACAUCACCCACAGAAGAAGCACCGGCUAACUCCGUGCCAGCAGCCGCGGUAAUACGGAGGGUGCGAGCGUUAAUCGGAAUUACUGGGCGUAAAGCGCGCGUAGGCGGUCUGAUAAGCCGGUUGUGAAAGCCCCGGGCUCAACCUGGGAACGGCAUCCGGAACUGUCAGGCUAGAGUGCAGGAGAGGAAGGUAGAAUUCCCGGUGUAGCGGUGAAAUGCGUAGAGAUCGGGAGGAAUACCAGUGGCGAAGGCGGCCUUCUGGACUGACACUGACGCUGAGGUGCGAAAGCGUGGGUAGCAAACAGGAUUAGAUACCCCGGUAGUC
rnacentral:rRNA from 1 species